AAAUCGGCAGUGUAUCAAAUACUUGUUCUCCCCACUGUAGAUAUUGUAAUCUCAGGCCAGGGGUUGUGAUAUAGAUACUGUAAUCUCAGGCCAGGGGUUGUGAUAUAGAUAUUGUAAUCUCAGGCCAGGGGUUGUGAUGUAGAUAUUGUAAUCUCAGGCCAGGGGUUGUGAUAUAGAUAUAGUAAUCUCAGGCCAGGGGUUGUGAUAUAGAUAUUGUAAUCUCAGGCCACGGGUUGUGAUAUAGAUAUUGUAAUCUCAGGCCAGGGGUUGUGAUAUAGAUAUAGUAAUCUCAGGCCAGGGGUUGUGAUAUAGAUAUAGUAAUCUCAGGCCAGGGGUUGUGAUAUAGAUAUAGUAAUCUCAGGCCACGGGUUGUGAUAUAUUCUUAUUUACUUAAUGUUUGAUUGAAGUGAACAGUUCAAAUGGGACAGCCCCAUAGCCUCUGAAUGUUUUGUUCCUAUGUAAAUUAUGACUGAUCAGGUAAACACUGACCUAGGAUGCAUCCCAAAUGACACCCUAUCCUCAAUAUAGCCCUAUGGACGCUGGUCAAAAGUAGUGCACGGUAUAGGGAAUAGGGUGCAAUUUGGGACCCUACCUUAAUGUCUGUUUAUAAUCUAUAAGACAUUAUUAAAUAGCUUGUUAACAAUUAGUAAAUGAACUGUGUAUCAAUCAGUAUUUAUAAGUUCAUAUAUUUAUUAAAACAAACUACUUAAUAAUGUUCAUAAGAGGUUUAUAACUGGACAUAUAGAGUUAAUAACGUGUCUGUUGAUACAAGACCAUGGCACUGGUGUUUUCAAAAUUAUGCAGUCAUCUUUUGAUGAAAAAUACUAAAUAAAAUACAAGUUAUUGAUUUAUUUUAACUCUAAAAAAAAUAUUAGAACUUGUUGUGAACUUUGAUUCAUACUGUAUGUCUUAAAGGGGCAAUUUGGGAUUGAACCAACAACAAAGCCCACCCCGCCACUUUUUUAUGUAAACAGCUGAGCAAUGGGGCUGGAGAAAUGGAACCACUCUUAAAUUCAUAGACAAGAGUUAUGGAUGCAACGACUGACCAUCUAUGAGAUCAACAUAAUAGUUUUAACCAUGUUUUGAGGCUGUACAGUGUUUGUUUACAAUUACAUUGUUUACAAACAGUGGAGUAAAACAAGCUUAUAUUUUGGGUUCUGAUCCUGUAAGACAGUUUAACUAAGCUCAUGUUUUGCUGCAAAGAGACAGAAUCAUUAGAUCAUUUGUUUUGGUACUGUC